UACGUAGGGGGCAAGCGUUGUUCGGAAUUACUGGGCGUAAAGGGCGCGUAGGCGGCACGGCAAGUCAGGAGUGAAAGGCCUGGGCUCAACCUGGGAAUUGCUUUUGAAACUGCCGAGCUAGAGUGCGGAAGGGGCAACUGGAAUUCCCAGCGUAGCGGUGAAAUGCGUAGAUAUUGGGAAGAACACCUGAGGCGAAGGCGGGUUGCUGGGCCGACACUGACGCUGAUGCGCGAAAGCCAGGGGAGCGAACGGG
rnacentral:rRNA from 1 species